AAUGUACAUGUUUUCGGUUUUCAGUUCUGGGAGAUCCUAGCCAGACUAUCAUGCCGAAUGACAACUUCGGUGAGCCGGAGGUGGAGGAAAUAAUGUCCCUGGGCUUCACCAGGGAACAGGCUAUUGUGGAGCUUCGGCGCUUCAACGGCGAUAAGACUCAAGCGACUGUGGCCCUUUUCGCCAAAUCCCUCAAGUUUUGAGCAUCAGACUGUCGACUAUAUUAACGACUUAAUAUAAUAUACCAUGAAUUUAAUAUAAACCUUUACUGUAGUCAACAUAAAACAUAAUGGUUAUGUAUUUUGUUCUCGAUCGUUCCAAAAAAAAUGUAUAUUUUGUUUUAUUUUUUCUUUACUUUUAUGGAAAAUUCAAAAUCGAAGUCGCUUUUUUUUACUGAGGAUUUAAAGUUUAUUUACAGAUUUUUCUUUACUGUUGUUUUUAUUUUAUGUUUUUUUGAUGAGUUGUGCAUUUGUUUGAAACUGACCUGGCCUGGUAGUAUUGGGUGAUUCUUGUUCCGUUUUAUUGCAAGCAUCAUGGAUUCGCUCCGAUAUACUUUACUCUGGUGUCAUUUAAUGGAAACUAAUGAUUAUACGACUUUUUCAAUGCUAGUUAUCACCGCCAUGUAUUAGGUGUUCUAUUAUUAAGGUAAUGUCUCUGACUUGGAUUAAGUGGAUCUUCCUAUGUAUUUUGCAAGUUGCCGAACUUGGAUUAGUGCUAAGCCCGCUAUCAAGCGUUAUUUAUGCAUUACAUAUAAUCGUAAGUAAUUUUGGCAAAGAUCGUGUAACUGGUGAAAUAUAAUCGUUUACAAUGACUUAUGAAAUCCGUCUUCGUAAUAACCGAUCUGCCACAUGACUAUAUAUUUGAACUUUUACAUAAAUAGUUUUACUGUCACCGAAUUAAUAUUUAACUUAUAAUAAUAAUACGUAGAAGCAUAAUGUGUAAGACAUAAGUUUACUACUCCAGGAAUUAGCUUUGGCUAUUUAUGUAAAAUACUUUAGUUUCUUACUUUCUUAUUUUCCUUUUUUCUUAUCCGUUUUACAUUUGGUUUCUAGCAGAUGUAAAUUGCUUUUGUACUGGGUAACCAAUGGUUUAAAGGUAUUUAAAUUUAUCAAAAAAAACUUCACUUUUGUACGAGAUAGGUUUUUUACCUAGUUUAAGUUGAUUUUUGUAUGUUUUCAUCAUUAAAAUGAUUGAAAUAAAACAUAGUUUACGUAA